GACGAACCGUGCGAACGUUGUUCGGAAUCACUGGGCGUAAAGCGCACGUAGGCGGAUCUUUAAGUCAGGGGUGAAAUCCUGGAGCUCAACUCCAGAACUGCCUCUGAUACUGGGGAUCUUGAGUCCGGAAGAGGUAAGUGGAACUGCGAGUGUAGAGGUGAAAUUCGUAGAUAUUCGCAAGAACACCAGUGGCGAAGGCGGCUUACUGGUCCGGUACUGACGCUGAGGUGCGAAAGCGUGGGGAGCAAACAGGG
rnacentral:rRNA from 1 species